UACGUAGGGUGCAAGCGUUUGUCCGGAAUUAUUGGGCGUAAAGAGCUCGUAGGCGGUUUGUCACGUCGGCCGUGAAAACUCGGGGCUCAACCCCGAGCCUGCGGUCGAUACGGGCAGACUAGAGUGCUGUAGGGGAGACUGGAAUUCCUGGUGUAGCGGUGAAAUGCGCAGAUAUCAGGAGGAACACCGGUGGCGAAGGCGGGUCUCUGGGCAGUAACUGACGCUGAGGAGCGAAAGCGUGGGGAGCGAACAGG
rnacentral:rRNA from 1 species